rnacentral:rRNA from 1 species
AUUGAACGCUGGCGGCAGGCCUAACACAUGCAAGUCGAGCGGAGCGGCGGACGGGUGAGUAAUGCCUAGGAAUCUGCCUGGUAGUGGGGGAUAACGUCCGGAAACGGGCGCUAAUACCGCAUACUAUCAGAUGAGCCUAGGUCGGUUUAGCUAGUGGGUGGGGUAAAGGCCUACCAAGGCGACGAUCCGUAACUGUUCUGAGAGGAUGAUCAUUCACACUGAAACUGGGACACGGUCCAAACUCCAACGGAGGGCAGAAGUGGGGAAUUUGGGACAAUGGGCGAAAGCCUGAUCCAGCCAGGCCGCGUGUGGGAAGAGGGUCUUCGGAUUGUAAAGCACUUUAAGUUGGGAGGCGUUACCAACAGAAUAAGCACCGGCUAACUUCGUGCCAGCAGCCGCGGUAAUAC